CCCCGACUAGCUCUGCUGGCAGAGCGUAAGACUCAUAAUCUCAGGGUAGUGGGUUCGUGUCCCACAUCGGGCU
rnacentral:tRNA from 1 species